AUUGAACGCUGGCGGCAGGCCUAACACAUGCAAGUCGAACGAGUGGCGGACGGGUGAGUAAUGUCUGGGAAACUGCCUGAUGGAGGGGGAUAACUACUGGAAACGGUAGCUAAUACCGCAUACCAUCGGAUGUGCCCAGAUGGGAUUAGUUAGUAGGUGGGGUAACUGCUCACCUAGGCGACGAUCCCUAGCUGGUCUUAGAGGAUGACCAGCCACACUGGAACGGAGAAACGAUCCCGACUCCUACGGGAGGCAGCAAUGGGGAAAAUUGCACAAUGGGCGCAAGGCUGAUGCAGCCAUGCCGCGUGUAUGAAGAAGGCCUUCGGGUUGUAAAGUACUUUCAUCGGGGGGGCGUUACCCGCAGAAGAAGCACCGGCUAACUCCGUGCCAGCAGCCGCGGUAAUUC
rnacentral:rRNA from 1 species